UAGUCCACGCCGUAAACGAUGAUUACUCGCUGUAGGCGAUACACAGUCUGUGGCUAAGCGAAAGUUUUAAGUAAUCCACCUGGGGAGUACGAUCGCAAGAUUGAAACUCAAAGGAAUUGACGGGGGCCCGCACAAGCGGAGGAACAUGUGGUUUAAUUCGAUGAUACGCGAGGAACCUUACCUGGACUUAAAUGUACGUUGCAUGGAUCAGAGAUGGUUCUUUCUUCGGACUACGUACAAGGUGCUGCAUGGUUGUCGUCAGCUCGUGCCGUGAGGUGUCGGGUUAAGUCCCAUAACGAGCGCAACCCUUGUCUUUAGUUGCCAUCAUUAAGUUGGGCACUUUAAAGAGACUGCCGGUGACAAACCGGAGGAAGGUAAGGAUGACGUCAAGUCAGCAUGCCCCUUAUGCUCUGGGCUGCACACGUGCUACAAUGGCCGUGACAAAGAGUUGCUACUUUGUGAAAACAAGCUAAUCUCAUAAACGCGGCCUCAGUUCGGAUUGCAGG
rnacentral:rRNA from 1 species